AGUGAACGCUGGCGGUAGGCCUAACACAUGCAAGUCGAACGGCAGCACAGAGGAGCUUGCUCCUUGGGGGGCGAGUGGCGGACGGGUGAGGAAUACAUCGGAAUCUACUCUGUCGUGGGGGAUAACGUAGGGAAACUUACGCUAAUACCGCAUACGACCUACGGGUGAAAGCAGGGGAUCUUCGGACCUUGCGCGAUUGAAUGAGCCGAUGUCGGAUUAGCUAGUUGGCGGGGUAAAGGCCCACCAAGGCGACGAUCCGUAGCUGGUCUGAGAGGAUGAUCAGCCACACUGGAACUGAGACACGGUCCAGACUCCUACGGGAGGCAGCAGUGGGGAAUAUUGGACAAUGGGCGCAAGCCUGAUCCAGCCAUACCGCGUGGGUGAAGAAGGCCUUCGGGUUGUAAAGCCCUUUUGUUGGGAAAGAAAUCCAUCUGGUUAAUACCCGGAUGGGAUGACGGUACCCAAAGAAUAAGCACCGGCUAACUUCGUGCCAGCAGCCGCCGCAG
rnacentral:rRNA from 1 species